GCCAUGGCUCAGUGGUAGAGCACCUGCUUUGCAUGCAGAAGGUCCCAGGUUCAGUCCUAGCAUCUCAAGGCA